GAUGAACGCUAGCUACAGGCUUAACACAUGCAAGUCGAGGGGUAACGAGAGGAAAGCUUGCUUUCCUUGUCGACGACCGGCGCACGGGUGAGUAACGCGUAUCCAACCUGCCCCCAACUAGGGAAUAACCUUGCGAAAGUAAGACUAAUACCCUAUAAUUUCCUCAGAUGUCAUCUGACGAGGAAUAAAGAUUUAUCGGUUGUGGAUGGGGCUGCGUCUGAUUAGCUUGUUGGCGGGGUAACGGCCCACCAAGGCAACGAUCAGUAGGGGUUCUGAAGGGAAGGUGCCCAACAUUGGAACUGCAACACGUUCCACACACCUACGGGAGGCAGCAGUGAGGAAUAUUGGUCAAUGGGCGGAAGCCUGAACCAGCCAAGUAGCGUGCAGGAUGACGGCCCUAUGGGUUGUGAACUGCUUUUAUACAGGAAUAAAGUUAGCCACGUGUGGUUAUUUGUAGGUACUGUAUGAAUAAGGACCGGCUAAUUCCGUGCCAGCCGCCGCAGUAA
rnacentral:rRNA from 1 species